rnacentral:lncRNA from 1 species
CUAUCCUUCCUUCCUGCUGUUCGAUUGCGUGUUGCCCUUCGUUGCCAUCUCUUGCCAUCCGAUCUAUCGACCUGGAUGAUGUUGUUCUUGUUACAUGGUCGUGGGUGCGCUCCCCGUACCUGCAAACCACCCUAAUACGGGCCGAGGGCUCAAGAGCUGCCAGAUCGCCUAUAAGCACCAUCCUACCUCGCACUUCAAACAAAGCAAGUGAACAUGGAUGUACGCCGGUAGAGCAACGUUCGGCAAUGAUCUACAACCGCUGUUGUCCCAAGAGUAAAAUCCUUACAUGAUUAUGAAGCCAAAUCGAUUGAAAGUUUGGCGAGCUAUUUAAACAGUUCGUACGUGAAAGAACACGGUCACUGCUUAUUGAUGGCCAGCAUUUGCCUACAUCAUUAUGCUUCAAAUAUAUAUAUUAUGUAUGAUUAUGCGUGGAUUU